ensembl:lncRNA
UGAUCUUUCUUCGAACCCAAUUUAUUAACACACAAGGUCCAAAAAAACACUACUAAGGGUCUUCAGAAGACGCAAUAGUUCCUGUCUUUGACUUCAGGGAAUAGGGUGGUCAAUACACUGCAGAUCUAAUGAGAGUGACAGACAGAAACAUGGCUAGAAAAUAAGAGAAUCAGUACAACUACCAGCUAAAGAAGGGAAUAAAAAGAAGCCAGGCAGUGAUUGAGUGACUGUGUUCUUUAUAAUCGUGAGAGAUAUACAAACGAGAAAAACAAACAGAAAAAAACUAAAAAGGAGGUGGAGGGGAUGUGGAGGGGAUAUGGAGGGGAUAUGGAGGGGAUGGGGUGGAGGGAUGGAGGGGAUAUGGAGGGGAUGUGGAGGGGAUAUGGAGGGGAUAUGGAGGGAGGGGGAUGUGGAGGGGAUAUGGAGGGGAUAUGGAGGGGAUAUGGAGGGGAUG